rnacentral:rRNA from 1 species
AGUGAACGCUGGCGGUAGGCCUAACACAUGCAAGUCGAACGGCAGCACAGUAAGAGCUUGCUCUUACGGGUGGCGAGUGGCGGACGGGUGAGGAAUACAUCGGAAUCUACUUUUUCGUGGGGGAUAACGUAGGGAAACUUACGCUAAUACCGCAUACGACCUACGGGUGAAAGCAGGGGAUCUUCGGACCUUGCGCGAUUGAAUGAGCCGAUGUCGGAUUAGCUAGUUGGCGGGGUAAAGGCCCACCAAGGCGACGAUCCGUAGCUGGUCUGAGAGGAUGAGCGGCCACACUGGAACUGAGACACGGUCCAGACUCCUACGGGAGGCAGCAGUGGGGAAUAUUGGACAAUGGGCGCAAGCCUGAUCCAGCCAUACCGCGUGGGUGAAGAAGGCCUUCGGGUUGUAAAGCCCUUUUGUUGGGAAAGAAAAGCAGCAGGUUAAUACCCCGCUGUCCUGACGGUACCCAAAGAAUAAGCACCGGCUAACUUCGUG